rnacentral:rRNA from 1 species
AUUGAACGCUGGCGGCAUGCCCUACACAUGCAAGUCGAACGGCAGCACGGGGCAACCUGGCGGCGAGUGGCGGACGGGUGAGUAAUGCAUCGGAACGUACCUUUCAGUGGGGGAUAACGUAGCGAAAGUUACGCUAAUACCGCAUAUUCUGUGAGCAGGAAAGCAGGGGAUCGCAAGACCUUGCGCUGAUUGAGCGGCCGAUGUCAGAUUAGCUAGUUGGUAGGGUAAAGGCUCACCAAGGCGACGAUCUGUAGCGGGUCUGAGAGGAUGAUCCGCCACACUGGAACUGAGACACGGUCCAGACUCCUAGGGGAGGCAGCAGUGGGGAAUUUUGGACAAUGGGGGCAACCCUGAUCCAGCCAUGCCGCGUGAGUGAAGAAGGCCUUCGGGUUGUAAAGCUCUUUCGGCCGGGAAGAAAUCGCACGGGCUAAUACCCUGUGUGGAUGACGGUACCGGAAUAAGAAGCACCGGCUAACUACGUGCCAGCAGCCGCCGUAACAC